GUGCGCUUGCAGUUGUGCCUUGGCAGAUCCUAAAACGACUAAUCUGAGAGAAUGCUCUUAAUCCGAUUUGGACUUUCUGUCAUGGCUGCAGCAGAUUUCAGGACUGGAACUAUUACCUGGCCCAUUGCACCAUUUAAAAAAUGUUAUUGUGACACAGAUAAACACAUUGACUGGUUACAGGGAACAUAAAGAGGUCAAGAGUAGGCAGGGACAUUGGUAGGAUGGGGUGACAGUACAGGAAGCGAGAACGAUAAGUGCCGUGAGAAAUUCCCCAAGAAGUUUAAAACUGAUUCAGAAUGAUCAGGUGGCAACGAUGUCAGCUGUGGAAAAAAAUCCCUCUGUUGGUCUUGAAGCUUUUAUUACACAGUGUGUUAUGAAAGGAGGCAGACGGACAAAGAGACGCCCCGGAGAGCAGAGGAGGUCAACAGGAGAGAGGGAGCGACGCAGGAAGGAGGCGACGUCAACAGAGUCAAAGGGUCAAGCCUAUCAUCAACCGCAAACUGCUGGAACAACAUCACCAUGGAAUGAGCUGGCCAUGAAGAAGCCUCUGCUCCAGAACUGACACCUUCGAGCUUGACUGACAUUUACAGCUGCCCAAAUAAACAAGACAAAGACCUUCCUGAGAACAGCUUUAUGGUCACACAAGCAAAGAUUAAUCAAUUUGGCCGCGAUGACAAUAAAUAUGUUUGGAGGCGUAAAGGUGAGGCUUUCAAACAUAAGGACACUUUACUAACUGUCAGGCAUGGAGGUGGUAGCAUCAUGCUCUGGAGCUGUUUUGCACAAUCUCCGAAAUCUUCACCUCAAGUCACCAGCUAGACAGUUGAAACUUGGAUACAGUUGUUCCUGCAGGACAGCGAUCCCAAACACACAUCAAAACUGGAUUUGGACUGGAUAAAGCAGGCAUAAAUUAAGCUUCUGGAAUAGUUUUCCUUAAACCCUGACCUCAAACCUACUGAUGUUUGUGGAUUAUAGUGAGCUCUGUGCCAGGAAGCCACGUCCAAUAAUUCUGUGAAGAAAAGUGAUCAAAUUUCCAGCCAGAAUUAUUCCAGAAGGUUGUUGUUAGCAACCAAAAUAAACAAACUUUGAUUUUUAUAACAAAACAUCAUCACCUCCCAACCCGAGCUUAUAAAUGCGCAUAUAAAAUACAUUUGUUUUAAUUAGAAUAAACAUUCACUUUCAAUUCCUGCACAAGAACACAUUUAGAUGAUUUCUUCAAACACUGAGGGAAAUAUUUAGGUGUUAAAAAGGCCAGAUGGAGUUAAUAACCAAAAGACUCUCACAGACAGAACCGAGGGCCACCAUAGGCCAAAGUCACUAAAAGCACAAAGAAAAUGUAGAGUGAGCAUACUUCAUGAAGUAUGGAGAAACAUUUCACCCACCAGGGUGAAAGGUCAAAGUCUACAAAUACACAUUUCAAUUGGGGUGUGACUCACUUUUGGAGCCAGCCUCAAGUGGCCGUUAGAGGAUCUGCAGUUUUUGGCAGUACCACACUUCACGUGUCAGACCCAAAAUACUUGGACCUACAGCAAUUUGAGGAAAAAGAAAUGACCUCAGUGUCAGAAAGUGGUCAACACUAUCCUCCAUCACACGGCCAAGAAGAACCCAGACGAAUACAACCCCGUGUCCAUCGACGGGGCUCAUGUCCAGCGCCUCACUGAUGCCACCGAGGCUCAGCAGCCAGCGGACCCCCAGCCGCCCACGAAGAUCAUCCUGACGGGACAAACACCCCAAAUAAUGGUCCCCACCUGGACACCCCUGUCAAAAAUUUCUGGCUUCGUCACUGAUAGCUGUGGCCAGAACUGACCGAUGUAUGGUUCGUUCAUCUCAAGUCAAGCUCCUCUUUCCUUUUUCAUCUCCUCCUCUCCACCGUCCUGCUUUGCAAUGAAACUCAAUGAUGUGAAACCAAAGGAGGGGGGAACUCUGGGCUGGUUUAUGGCAACUCGAGGUUUUCACCUGUCAAGGCACAACUGAUUGUUAUUAACAGCAGGCCUGAAAAUGAAUUUUUCCCUGGAAAAGAAUUACAUUUCCACCCCAAAAGCCAUCGUAAUUUUGUGUGGAAGAAGAAUUACAGCUCCGCUCGGGAAAAAUGUGCAGUGUCAACCACCAAAUCCUCAGAAAACUUUUAUUUCGGGGCGUAAGCAUUCAAGAGGACAUAAGGCAGUAUUUCAUUUGUUUGUCUAUAUUUAUCUCAUUGCAUAACUCCAUCCAGAUCACUCUGUUUCAGUCCUGGUACAGCUACAAAAGGGGUAUUUGAAACCCAGCAAGUGUUCUUUCCUCACAGCCACUAUAUGCAAUCAGCCCGGUGCCAGUAGAAAGACAUUUACUUUACGCAAUAAAGACAUGAGGAUGAUGGCAGACUUUUCAAUGAAAGGCUGGCUUACGGAGGAGGGAAACCAUUAUUUGUCAGAGUGACGGCUGUGAAAUUGAGUACGGGAAGCUGAGAAGAUGUUUACCGAUGUUUACUCUUCAUGCGGGGAAGCUCGGGAUAGACCUCGGGAUUAAAUGCAAGGGUUUUGACCUCAAUCAAGGAAAUAAUUACUCUUGCCCCUCUGGUUGGUGGACUGCUUAAUUAGCAAGCAAAGCCCCCACAGAAAUUCCAUUAGAGUGAAAGCAGAGGUGAUUAAAACUAUAAUUCUUAUUAGAGUCAUUAGUACCUUUUUGGGGAUGCCUGGCAUUAUUGAAUGUGCUGGGAAAUUGAAUUCAUGAUGCUUUGUGUGGUUCCCACAAAAUACUUCAGCACGCCCUGUACGGUGCCCGGUGUCUUCAUCCAGCUAUGUAUCAAAACAAGUCAUAUGACAAUAGAGUAAAGGGCACAAGUGAAGUGUGACUCACUCCAACUUGCUCAAGUAAUGAAGAGUAUUCAUGAUUGGCAUCACUGAUAAAAGCUAUGGAUCGCAUACACAUGCACUUCUGAGCUGCUCUUUUCUUUCACUGUGUGCUUCAUUGUAGUGAAUCACUAUGCUUCCUAUUAUAUUCUCCCCGAAGAACAAAACGCACACACACACACACACCUGCUGUUAUCUGUCAUCACCACAGUUGCCAUCCCUCCGCCAAAAACAGUCGAUACUGAUGUAGCACCCACUCACUCUACAAGAGUGUAUAGGUGUGUGUUUUGUUCACAGGAUCUUUUGUGAUUAAAUGGAACUGCAGCAAAAAGGGAAGUUUGGUACUUUUGGGGCACUUUUGUUGUUUUUUGGACAAAUUAAAUAGGUUGAUUACAAAACUGUCCUAGCCUCUAAUAGACUAUUCAGAUUCCUCUCUUUAGUAAUGUAUUCUCAGCACUUCCAUCACGUUUUUAUUUUUUUAACAAAAUGCCUUUCGGUACUGAAAAGUGAGGACUAACAAAUAGGUUCAAAACACUUCCGGUCAGGUUUUACUUUUCAUUCUCUCUCUGGGCAAUUAAAAGCACUAAGAAGGGAAAGGUUUCUGUCAUGGUAAAUGCAGAUGCAAGCUGGCAACGCACCAAAAAGUAGAAGCGAAAAACAGCAGAAACCCAAAAUAGCCCCAGGGAGCCAAAGUACCGGAUGGCACAUCUAGGAAAAUGCAGUCAUUGUGACAGAAACCUACAAAACAGUAAACACUGGAAACAGGAGGGGAAAGGAACACAGCUGAAACUAAUCAGUACAAUAAAUGAGACCGGAAGUUAAGCCCAAAGCAAGACACCUGAGGUGCACAAAGAAGCAACGACUUACUCAAGCCUCAAAUCAGUUUUCUGUCAUGGUCCCCGUAUCCGCCCAGCCGGCCCCGCAAGGCUACAUGUGUUUUGUGUUUCUCUCUCUCUCUCCUUUGCCGCUCUGCCUGGCCGGAGCUCACUGCAGGCUCCCACUCUUGGCCCACAUACCUGUUCGUGAUUAUUUGCCAUUAUGUGCCCGCCAUUUAAGGCCGGGACGCAGACCUUCUCAUCGCUGGAUGAUUGUGCUUGACACGUUAGUGAUCCUCUCAGCUCUUGUGACGUUAGCUUGUGUGAGAUUAGUGACUUUCAGUAACUUGCCUUUUCCCUGUGCGAUAGUUUUCCUCCCCAGACCUGCGACUUCCCCGCUGUGUGUGAGUUGGAGUAAGAGAAGAGAACGAGUGCGCGAGUGUUUUCCCUUGGACCCUUCUCUCCCCGGAUUUUCCCCCACUGUACAUAUUCUGCACUUGGUGUUGUAAAUAAAGUUUGUGUUGGAACUGACUACCCGCUCUGCGUAUGAGUCCCUGCACCGAUCGUGACAUUUUCUGUCUCACAAAAGUGACUCUCUUUUUAACUGGUGACAUCGCCAUGGUAACUUGGAGAUCCUAAACACAUAGCAAAAUCAGAAUUCUUUAAUUUAUGUAAGUGCAUUGCAGAUUCUCUCCUGGGGGAAUUAGUUUUAAAAGUGCAAGUUGUUAAGGUUUACCUUACUAAAACCAAUGAAUUAAGCACAACUGGUACAUGACAUUGUCACAGGAAUAUGCUUGUAUUAAUUUGGUGAUGCAGAAAAUCCGUAAAUGCUGUUAUCCUCUAAUCUGCUGCAAAGUCUCCUUUACACUGCUACUAAACACAAAACAAAAAGAGUACCUGUUCAAUCAGUAAAAUUUAUUU